rnacentral:rRNA from 1 species
CCCCUAGAUGUUCUGGGCCGCACGCGCGCUACACUGAACAGUUCAACAAGUCUUAACCUUGGCCGAUAGGUCUGGGUAUUCUUUGAACGCUGUUCGUGAUUGGGAUAGACCUUUGCAAUUAUGGGUCUUCAACGAGGAAUUCCUAGUAAACGCAAGUCAUCAGCUUGCAUUGAUUACGUCCCUGCCCUUUGUACACACCGCCCGUCGCACCUACCGAUUGAAUGGUCCGGUGAAAUCUCGGGACGGCGGCUUGGUCGCUUGCGUCCGACUGCUGAAACUUGAUUAAACCAUAUCAUUUAGAGGAAGGUGAAGUCGUAACA